rnacentral:snRNA from 1 species
GGGCUCCCCAUUCGACCCGUCU